UACGUAGGGGGCAAGCGUUGUCCGGAAUCAUUGGGCGUAAAGAGUGUGUAGGCGGCCCGAUAAGUCCGCUGUGAAAGUCCAGGGCUCAACCCUGGAAUGCCGGUGGAUACUGUCGGGCUCAAAUCCGGAAGAGGUGAGUGGAAUUCCGUGGUGUAGCGGUGAAAUGCGCAGAUAUCAGGAGGAACACCAAUGGCGAAGGCGACUCU
rnacentral:rRNA from 1 species